rnacentral:rRNA from 1 species
GAAAAGAACUUUGAUAAAGAGAGUUAAAAAGUGCGUGAAACCGUUAGUGGGGAAACGGAUGCAGUUAGCAAUGCUUCGGCGAGAUUCAGGCGGUCACCUGGCUGGACGGGCAGUGUGUGGAUCCGAAUGGACUGUCGCUGCUUGGCUUGGUCUUGUGCUCGUCGCACUUCUCGUCGGAGCGCGUCAACAGCUGCUUGACUUGAGCGAUACGGUGCUCGGGAAGGUAGGCGUGUGUCUUCGGACUUGCGUUGUUAUAGCCCGUGGCAUUCCCAGUUCGAGUUUGGCAGAGGCGAACGGUGCAUGCUCUCUAGGGGGCUGGCGUCCUUCUCUUGAUCGAUUGUCGAGCAUGGCGGACUGCUUGCAGUGCGUCUGAACUGCUGUUGGUCAUUCGGGAGGAUCGCGCACACUAUGCACCUAGGUUGUUGGCGGCCAUAUGGCUUCAUCUGACCCGUCUUGAAACACGGACCAAGGAGUCUAACAUGUGCGCAAGUCUUGGGGUGACCGAAACCCAAAGGCGCAAUGAAAGUAAAGGCUGCCUGGCAGCCGAGGUGAGAUCUUCGUUCCGCGUGUCCGAAGCGCAUCAUCGACCGACCUAUUCUACUCCUAGAAAGGUUUGAAGUAAGAGCGCAUCUGUUGG